CUCUGUGACUCCUACGGGAGGCAGCAGUGGGGAAUAUUGCACAAUGGGGGAAACCCUGAUGCAGCCAUGCCGCGUGUGUGAAGAAGGCCUUCGGGUUGUAAAGCACUUUCAGUAGGGAGGAAGGUAGUGUAGUUAACACCUGCACUAUUUGACGUUACCUACAGAAGAAGCACCGGCUAACUCCGUGCCAGCAGCCGCGGUAAUACGGAGGGUGCGAGCGUUAAUCGGAAUUACUGGGCGUAAAGCGCAUGCAGGCGGCCUGUUAAGUCAGAUGUGAAAGCCCGGGGCUUAACCUCGGAAUUGCAUUUGAAACUGGCAGGCUAGAGUCUUGUAGAGGGGGUAGAAUUUCAGGUGUAGCGGUGAAAUGCGUAGAGAUCUGAAGGAAUACCAGUGGCGAAGGCGGCCCCCUGGACAAAGACUGACGCUCAGAUGCGAAAGCGUGGGGAGCAAACAGGAUUAGAUACCCUUGUAG
rnacentral:rRNA from 1 species